ensembl:lncRNA
GCCUUGGUGAUUAUCCCAGCCAUGUAAAAUAUAACUGAAAUUCAAUUGGCUGAUUCCUGACAUCGUCAUCUAAAAUAAUCCAUCCCUUUUUCGUGUUUGGACAGUAUAUAAACAGACAGAAUUUCAUCUUUCCCGUGGCACUCAGUAACAUCAUUCUUACGGCUACGUGGAUCGAAAGUGGGUGGGAAUCUGCCACGAUUGACAUUUGUUCAAUGGCAGCUGCUGACGGUGUGGAGAGACUCACACGGUUUGAAUAAAAUGGCCCGAGAGAGUCACCUGUUGAUCCUGUCGUGAUAUGGUGAGUAACGAGUAACUUUAAAAUCAAAGAAUGAUCGACAUCUGUUUUAAUUCCCUUCACCCGGAAAGCUUUGGCUAAUCGAUUUAGUCGAUGCACUAGCCUAAUACACUAUAAUUGUCUCUUUACAGGCAUAUCGCAUCGCAUAUUUUCGAGGUCUAGGAAUUUUAUUUCAUAUACAACUGCUUUUUGUACUGGUAUUUUGACCGGUAGCCUAUGUUCAAUUUCUAAUUUAACAGAAUGACCCAUAAAUUACAUUUUAUGGCUAGCGUUGCAAUAAAGCAAAUUAGCUCACAGUAGCUCUUGCAUCUGUGAUAUAGCCUACUGUUCUUAAAGGCGAGACGUUGUGAAGUGGUGUUUUGUUCUAUAAGGCCCAUUUUGGACUCCGAACUUUCAUGCAACAGGUGGCAAGUUAUUUCAGCCGGAAGACUGAAUGGCGAAUGUCACACGUGCUGUUGGGCGUCUUUCAGCACUGAAGAAGAGAACAGCUCCCACGGUGUGCCCUCAAGUCUUGUCGAUGGAAGGUCUUCAUGUAUUGAUCUCUCUAUCUAUCUAUCUAUCUAUCGAUGUAUCUAUCUAUAUCUAUAUCUAUCUAUCUUUCUAUCUAUAUAUUUAUAUAUAUUAUAUAUAUAUAUAAAUGACAUGUAGCCUAUAUGUUUCAAAAGUAGCAGGCUUUUAAAAUAGUGUACAAAUACUAACAAAAAGAGUAUUUCUGUUAGUAUUUGUACAUAUAGCCUUCUAUCUCCAUGUUCUUCCAAAUUAAUGAACAGGGUUAUUCCAUGUAAAGGGCAACACAAGUCCAAACUCAGGCUACAAUCCACUGGACAUCCCCUCAAUUUCAUAUAGGUUCCCUUGCUUUACCAUGGAAGACAGUCUGUCCAAAGACCCUUCCCCCACCUUCCCUUUUCUUGUUAAAUUGACACUCUCCACCCCCUGCUCCUUCUGCUGUCUCAGCGCUGUUGCAUAGCUACCAGAUCUACCCUUGGAACACUGAAGAUAAAGACUGAUGACUUUGGCUAUAUGUUUGUGUUUUAGUUGUUAGCGCUACAUGCAGUAUAACUUGAUGACAUCGUGGCCAUUAUGGCCUGUUUAUAUUCCAUUCUGUGGACAGCAGAUGAAAUGGGACAGAGGGCUUAUUUUCUCAAAACAAAAUGUUUAUCUGUGAUUCUGAGUCAGCUUCAUAUUCACUGCUAAAGUCAAAUAUAAAAUGACCCCCCCCAACAAAAUGAUCUUCUUUUUUUCUUUUUUUUUACCAAUGGAUGACGCUCUCAUUCACAUAGCGGUUGAUUAUGAGUUCCCCUCCCCCUCCCCUCUUCAAAAAGGGGAUGCAGGCUUGGCUUUAUAUGAACAAAGGGAAGAGGGGAUGUCAACCUGUUUAACAUGGUGAAGCAGGAGUUGAAGGAAUUAUUAGGAGAAAAGAGAGAAAUGUGAUCUAAAAAAGGAAGAGUGUAAGGUCAAUAAAUGGGUCCACAUUGGAGAGUGUGUCCUUCAGGUGCUUGUACUACUUCCUCUUCAGAUGGACAUCACAGCCAGGGGGUUUGGGGAUGAUCAGCACUGAUGGAUUUGGCCUAAAUGAAUGGGGACCUGGGGGAAGAAACAUGGAGACAUUUUGAAGAGGGAUUGACCUGCUCUGAGUGCUGGGUGGAAGACUAGUGAUUUUGUUGUGAAAUUGAACAGACACUAACAACAAAACCCAGUCUGCCUCCCAGCACAGGGUACGGGGCUGCAGUGUCUUUUUUCACAUCUGGAUUUGAGCAGAAGGAUAGCCCACAUGCCUUGAUCAUCUUUAGCAAGAUGUAAGAAUUCUAUAAUAAAAUGAAUAUACUUGGUCCAUUUUUUUUUAUUCAGAUUUAUUAUAAUAAUAUCUACAAAAGUAUGUUUUUGUGAUAUGCCUUCAUGUUUUCAAUAACUGAUCAAUAAAAAAACACUACUUAUUGUUCUUACUUUCUAUGGAACAUAGAGCUGGUUUGUUUUUGGUAUAGGUGUAAGGUUGUGGGCUAGAGAGAUCUUUGUACAUGCACCUUAAUAUUGGCUCAAGGAAUUACAGUCCGCCCCAGUAGGCAGGCUACUAGGCUAUAGCUUGCUAUUAUAAGCUGUUCCAGCUCAGUGGGCAGUAGACUACCAGGAAAUUUAGCCUAACACCCCAAGGUAAAAUUCUACAUAUUUCACCAUUUAUCAUGCUUCUGGUUUCAAAGAGAACACAAACUAGUUAAUUAGCCCUACACUUGUUCGUUGAGAAACAAUCACAAUGAAAACAAGGCAAGGGUUAGGAUUGACGGUAAAGUAGUGUAAUGUAAUGUAAAAGCCCUGAGGUGGAGAGUUUCAGUAGUGUGUUUUUUUCAUUGACAUACACGAACACACUAUUUCACACAUAUCUUUAAAUUAACUCGUGGGAUGCAAUACAGUAAAUCAAUUAAACUGUACUGCAACCAUUUCACAAACCAUCUCCUAGACAGUGGGGAAAGUUAGCCUAACUGGUUGUUAGUUUAGUCUCGUCGGCUGACCGACUCAAAUUACGAUGUGCGAAAACAGCACGAUAGGCCUACAUGAAAAAACACUUUGAUUAGGCUACACACCAGGCACUACAAACAGCUCCCAUGCACGAUGAAGAACUCAUACCUGAAAUUCUGAGUUUCAGUAAGUAUUGGCUUUUCCAAUGACACAUGAACUCACCAUUUCCUUUAGGCAUAUCUUCUUAUCAACUUGUGUGUGUAGAAACCUAGCUGAAGAACUGUACGCUAAAUUGAACUUGAGUGAUAACUGAAAUUGAACGUGAAAGCCUG